rnacentral:tRNA from 1 species
AUUUUUCUAGUAUAAUGUACAAGUGAUUUCCACUCACUAGGUCUUAGCUACCCACUAAGGAAAAAUA